rnacentral:rRNA from 1 species
CCUACGGGAGGCAGCAGUGGGGGAUAUUGCACAAUGGGGGGAACCCUGACGCAGCGACGCCGCGUGGGUGAAGGAGUGUUUCGGCUCGUAAAGCCCUAUCGUCAGGGAAGAACCAAGACGUUACCUGACUAACAAGCCCCGGCUAUCUAUGACCCAGCAGCCGCGGGAAUCCGUAGGGGGUCAGCGUUAGUCGGACUCACUGGGCGGAAAGUGUGCGUAGACGGUCAUGGAAGACAGGGGGGAAAGCCCUGGUCCCAACCCGGGUACCGCACUUGGAACUGGAUGGCUGGAGUGCGGAAGGGGCAGGCGGAAUUCCAGGUGUAGCGGUGAAAUGCGUAGAUAUCAGGAGGAACACCGGCGGCGAAGGCGGCCUGCUGGACCGCGACUGACGUUGAGGCUCGAAAGCGUGGGGAGCGAACAGGAUUAGAUACCCCAGUAGUC